rnacentral:rRNA from 1 species
GAAUAUUGGACAAUGGGCGCAAGCCUGAUCCAGCCAUGCCGCGUGUGUGAAGAAGGCCUUCGGGUUGUAAAGCACUUUUGUUGGGGAAGAAAAGCCAUGGGCUAAUACCCUGUGGUUCUGACGGUACCCAAAGAAUAAGCACCGGCUAACUCUGUGCCAGCAGCCGCGGUAAUACAGAGGGUGCAAGCGUUGUUCGGAAUCACUGGGCGUAAAGCGCGCGCAGGCGGAUAGAGCAAGUCUGGAGUGAAAUCUCGCCGCUCAACGGCGGGGCUGCUUUGGAUACUGCAUAUCUGGAGAUCGGUAGAGGCUGGUAGAAUUGCUGGUGUAGCGGUGGAAUGCGUAGAGAUCAGCAAGAAUACCCGUGGCGAAGGCGGCCAGCUGGGCCGAAUCUGACGCUGAGGCGCGAAAGCGUGGGGAGCAA